AUGAACGCUGGCGGCGUGCCUAAUACAUGCAAGUCGAGCGAACAGACGAGGAGCUUGCUCCUCUGACGUUAGCGGCGGACGGGUGAGUAACACGUGGAUAACCUACCUAUAAGACUGGGAUAACUUCGGGAAACCGGAGCUAAUACCGGAUAAUAUAUUGAACCGCAUGGUUCAAUAGUGAAAGACGGUUUUGCUGUCACUUAUAGAUGGAUCCGCGCUGCAUUAGCUAGUUGGUAAGGUAACGGCUUACCAAGGCAACGAUGCGUAGCCGACCUGAGAGGGUGAUCGGCCACACUGGAACUGAGACACGGUCCAGACUCCUACGGGAGGCAGCAGUAGGGAAUCUUCCGCAAUGGGCGAAAGCUUGACGGAGCAACGCCGCGUGAGUGAUGAAGGUCUUCGGAUCGUAAAACUCUGUUAUUAGGGAAGAACAAAUGUGUAAGUAACUAUGCACGUCUUGACGGUACCUAAUCAGAAAGCCACGGCUAACUACGUG
rnacentral:rRNA from 1 species